GUGUUUGGGAUCAGAACAGACUGUUGGAGCGGACACAGCGCAGAAUAGGAAAUACCACAACACAAGUAAGGUGAGUCUGUUCUCUGCUGUAGACUGCGGUAAGUGAAUGUGGUCGGUCAGCUCGGGGACUUAGCCAAGGUUAGAGCGGAUGGUAGGAGUCAAACUAACUGAAUAUGUGCACCUCUGUCUCCUGAGCAGAUAGCCUGAGGUUUUCCCACUGUAGACUCUUGCCAAGAAAAUAUUUUAGAAGGAAACAAUUUUUUUUUAAUGGAUUUUGUACAAAUUAAAAAUAGUCAUAUGUGGGCUGGGCAGUUGGUGGCACACACCUUUAAUCCCAGUACUUGGGAUGCAGAGGCAUUUGUGGGCUGAAGAGAUGCAGGUACGAGCACUGACUGCUCUUCUGAAGGUCCUGAGUUCAAUUUCCAGCAACCACAUGGUGGCUCACAACCAUCUGUAAUGGGAUCCGAUGCCCCCUUCUGGUGUGUCUGACAGCUACAGUGUACUCAUAUACAUAAAAUAAAUCUUAUAAAAAUAUAGCCGUAUGUCACCUUGUUGCCUUUCUUAUGGGUGAUAAUGCACCUUUCUUUGCAGAGGACUGGUUCUCUGGUAUGUUUUUCCCUACUCCCUCCUUCCUCUUCCCCUUCUUCUCUUCCUUCCUCUCUCCCAGUCCUUUCCACUCUCACCCUUCUCCCCACAGCUUUGCCUUUCCUUACGUUCCCCUUCCUCACUCUCAUUGCCCUUAUAUAAAACAGUAGUGACUGUUUUACCUGCAUGUAUGUCCUGUGCACCAUGUGUGAGCCUGGAGCCCUGUGAGGCCAGAAGAAGGCAUCUGAUCCCCUGGAUCUAGAGUGAGAGACAGGCGUCAGCUGCUAUGGGGGUGCUGGGAAUUGAACCCAGGUCCUCUGGCUGAGCAGCCAGCGCUGUUAGCCACUGAGCCGUCUCUCUCUUUUUCAUGAUGCCGCAAGUCUAUUCUUUCCUAAUCAUGGGAUCACAGGCACGCGGUUGUUGAGGUGGGUAUGUCUCACUCUGUAUGUAACAUGGAGGAUAUCUGUUAGAUAGCAUUUAGAUGUGUUUGCACACUUACGUGAGGGCUCUGAGUCGGACUCUGUGAAAGCACACUUGCCUAGAGUGUGAAGCCCUGGGCUUGACUGAAGUAAAACAGAACAGAAUGCUCAGAGCAAACAAACAACAAGCAAAGCACCCAAAUCAUUACAAAGAAACC
rnacentral:lncRNA from 1 species